GCUACCACAUGGCCCACUGGCGAGUCAAACACGAACUACAGGCCAAGGUUCCAAGACGAAGGGUGCAUCGGUGGUGCAACCAAAGCAUGAAGGUCAAUUCCACUGUACGUGAAUCACACCACAACAACAAACGGACCACCAUCCCGAAUCUCCGUUUCCACAGCAUGAUGGAAAAUUCCAGAGUCCAUGGGUGCUGCCACCACAGCCCCAAGGUCAUCCAAGGCAGAUAGUCCAAAGCAUGACGGGGAACCCCAUGUACCACCAAUGCAUCAAGAUCGAGACCGUGGUCUUAGGGUGAUAUAUCCACGGCAUCAAGAACGUCAUCCCCGGCAGCCCCACAGUCCAAAGAGUCCCACAAGCACAGUUUUCUGGGAUGCCAAGACCUGUUCGAACCAAACCCAUAACAUGGUUAGCGUCCAUCGAUGCAGGCUCUCAACUUGACGCCGAUCUCUCUGUGCUAGCAAACCAAACCAAUCCAAACAGGAAAGUGAGUGUAGACUUCAGUUACCUGAUCAUUGAUCUAUACUACGGAAGCACUCUU